rnacentral:rRNA from 1 species
GACGAACGCUGGCGGCGUGCCUAAUACAUGCAAGUAGAACGCACAGUUUAUACCGUAGCUUGCUCCACCAUAGACUGUGAGUUGCGAACGGGUGAGUAACGCGUAGGUAACCUGCCUGGUAGCGGGGGAUAACUAUUGGAAACGAUAGCUAAUACCGCAUAAUAUUAAUUAUUGCAUGAUAAUUAAUUGAAAGGUGCAAUUGCACCACUACCAGAUGGACCUGCGUUGUAUUAGCUAGUAGGUGAGGUAACGGCUCACCUAGGCGACGAUACAUAGCCGACCUGCGAGGGUGGUCGGCCACCCUGGGACGGGGACACGGCCCUGACUCCUACGGGAGGCGGCCGUAGGGAAUCUUCGGCAAUGGGCGAAAGUCUGACCGAGCAACGCCGCGUGAGUGAAGAAGGUCUUCGGAUCGUAAAGCUCUGUUGUAAGAGAAGAACGGGUGUGAGAGUGGAAAGUUCACACUGUGACGGUAUCUUACCAGAAAGGGACGGCUAACUACGUG